rnacentral:lncRNA from 14 species
CUGUGCCACUGUUUGUCCUUUGGUCUACAGGACCACAGCUGGUGGACUUUGUAGAAAUCUUGAUCAUAGGUGUUCACUUCUCUCCAAGAAGUUUGUUUGAUAAGAAAAGGAUUCACCCAGCCUUGUGGGAUGAUACAUGGACCUUCAUGGACAUGAUCCAGGACCUUCAGUUAGUGACCUAAAUGUAGUAUGGUAGUUUAACUCACUACACAGUUGCUGUCCCACAUAUUGUGACAGAGACAUGGAGCAAGAAAAUACCUCACUGAACUUCUGAAACCUCAAGCCUGUUAUUUGGAAUAGAACUGCAAUGUUGGAUGGCCUCAAAUGAGACUUUAUCCUUUAAUACUUUCUUUGCGCCAUCUGAUUGUUUUAUUCCUAUGAGCUA